GAUGAACGCUGGCGGCGUGCUUAACACAUGCAAGUCGAACGGAAAGGCUCCUGCUUGCAGGGGCACUCGAGUGGCGAACGGGUGAGUAACACGUGGGUGAUCUGCCCUGCACUUCGGGAUAAGCCUGGGAAACUGGGUCUAAUACCGGAUAGGACGAUGGUUUGGAUGCCAUUGUGGAAAGUUUUUUCGGUGUGGGAUGAGCUCGCGGCCUAUCAGCUUGUUGGUGGGGUAAUGGCCUACCAAGGCGUCGACGGGUAGCCGGCCUGAGAGGGUGUACGGCCACAUUGGGACUGAGAUACGGCCCAGACUCCUACGGGAGGCAGCAGUGGGGAAUAUUGCACAAUGGGCGCAAGCCUGAUGCAGCGACGCCGCGUGGGGGAUGACGGCCUUCGGGUUGUAAACUCCUUUCGCUAGGGACGAAGCGCAAGUGACGGUACCUGGAGAAGAAGCACCGGCUAACUACGUG
rnacentral:rRNA from 1 species